UACGUAGGGUGCGAGCGUUAAUCGGAAUUAUUGGGCGUAAAGAGCUCGUAGGCGGUCUGUCGCGUCUGCUGUGAAAACCUAGGGCUUAACUCUGGGCGUGCAGUGGGUACGGGCAGGCUAGAGUGCGGUAGGGGAGACUGGAAUUCCUGGUGUAGCGGUGAAAUGCGCAGAUAUCAGGAGGAACACCGGUGGCGAAGGCGGGUCUCUGGGCCGAUAUUGACGCUGAGGAGCGAAAGCGUGGGGAGCAAACAGG
rnacentral:rRNA from 1 species